GAACGCUGGCGGUCUGCUUAACACAUGCAAGUCGAACGGAGUAGAAAUACUUAGUGGCGACGGGUGAGUAACGCGUGAGAAUCUGCCUUCAGGACGGAGACAACAGUUGGAAACGACUGCUAAGCCCCGAUGAACCGAAAGGGAAAAUAUUUAUAGCCUGAAGAGGAGCUCGCGUCCGAUUAGCUAGUUGGCGGAGUAAAAGCCCACCAAGGCGACGAUCGGUAGCUGGUCUGAGAGGACGAUCAGCCACACUGGGACUGAGACACGGCCCAGACUCCUACGGGAGGCAGCAGUGGGGGAAUAUUGGGCAAUGGGCGCAAGCCUGACCCAGCAACGCCGCGUGAAGGAAGAAGGCUUUCGGGUUGUAAACUUCUUUUAAGAGGGAAGAGCAGAAGACGGUACCUCUAGAAUAAGCCACGGCUAACUACGUG
rnacentral:rRNA from 1 species